rnacentral:rRNA from 1 species
ACACAUGCAAGUCGAACGAAGCGCUUAAAUGGAUUUCUUCGGAUUGAAGUUUUUGUGACUGAGUGGCGGACGGGUGAGUAACGCGUGGGUAACCUGCCUCAUACAGGGGGAUAACAGUUAGAAAUGACUGCUAAUACCGCAUAAGCGCACAGUGCUGCAUGGCACAGUGUGAAAAACUCCGGUGGUAUGAGAUGGACCCGCGUCUGAUUAGCUAGUUGGUGGGGUAACGGCCUACCAAGGCGACGAUCAGUAGCCGGCCUGAGAGGGUGAACGGCCACAUUGGGACUGAGACACGGCCCAAACUCCUACGGGAGGCAGCAGUGGGGAAUAUUGCACAAUGGGGGAAACCCUGAUGCAGCGACGCCGCGUGAGCGAAGAAGUAUUUCGGUAUGUAAAGCUCUAUCAGCAGGGAAGAAAAUGACGGUACCUGACUAAGAAGCACCGGCUAAAUACGUGCCAGCAGCCGCGGUAAUACGUAUGGUGCAAGCGUUAUCCGGAUUUACUGGGUGUAAAGGGAGCGUAGACGGUUGUGUAAGUCUGAUGUGAAAGCCCGGGGCUCAACCCCGGGACUGCAUUGGAAACUAUGUAACUAGAGUGUCGGAGAGGUAAGCGGAAUUCCUAGUGUAGCGGUGAAAUACGUAGAUAUUAGGAGGAACACCAGUGGCGAAGGCGGCUUACUGGACGAUCACUGACGUUGAGGCUCGAAA